GGGAAAGUUGAGGCAAUCCUCUCACCAAUCAAACAAAGAAACAAUUAUAGACCCGCAUCACGAUUUCCUUAACGAUGGAGAAACCAUGGGUUCCAACAAGAAGAACAUGGAGGAGGGAAAGUUGAGGCAAUCCUCUCACCAAUCAAACAAAGAAACAAUUAUAGACCCGCAUCACGAUUUCCUUAACGAUGGAGAAAGCAUGGGUUCCAACAAGAAGAACAUGGAGGAGAUUUAGAAAGCCAAUGAUGAUAGCAAAACCUAGCAUUGCCACGUGACAGCUUGAAAUAGACCAAUAAGAAUAAAUCGGAAAUACUAGUAGCAGGUGACUGUCCUAGAUUUCAUCACGAUAUCAAGAGUCCAUGUGACUUGUAUAUAUUCCUCUGGCUUGAAGUAGAAAUAUUAUGUGUUUUUGAGUUAGGCCUAUGUUUUCUGAAUCUUUUGAAUUUUCACUUCCGAUUUCCACAUUUAGAAAAUCUUGUUUCACUUUAUUUCCCUUCUUUAAAUGUUUAGUACACCGUUUAGGCCAUUACAUACUGUUUUUUUAUUGGGGGCGCAACGUUCAUUUAUUUAGACCCCGUGCCACAGCUUGUAUCUAGACCUUAAGAUAUUACACAAUAAUUAAACACAAAACCUAAAAGCAUUUGUGUUUUUUUAUCGGGGCACUGACUGAUUGACGUUGUGAUUCACUUAACUCAGGUUAGGUGAAUAAAUAUCCGACAGGAUAAAUUAUUCAUUGUAUGCACGACGCUCCUUUAACCAACUGGAACUACUGUAAUACCGGAUAAUAUACAGUGUGCCAUUGAAAAGGCAACUAGAUAAUUGCCGCAUCAAUGUUAUUUUUGUUGUUAUUAUUAUUACAAUUAUUAUUACUAUAAUUCAUCAACAUCCUAGUUUAUUACUAUUCUCAUUAUUGCUGUUAUUAUCAUCAUCAUUUCGAUUGUGUAAAGCAUUUUUAAAGUAUCAAUUUCGAAAAUUAUUGCUAUUGAGAAUAUUCUACAUUAUGAACCAAUAGCGCAAAAUACCGACACAAGUUUAAAGCCAAUACGGGUGAAAUUAAUCGGUCAGAAGUUCAC